rnacentral:tRNA from 1 species
GGCGGGAUAGCUCAGUUGGCUAGAGCAUACGGUUCAUACCCGUAGUGUCGCUGGUUCGACUCCAGUUCCCGCUA